rnacentral:rRNA from 1 species
GACGAACGCUGGCGGCGUGCUUAACACAUGCAAGUCGAACGGGUCUGCCCUGUUUUUUGCGGGGUGGGUCAGUGGCGAACGGGUGAGUAACACGUGAGUAACCUGCCCCUCACUUCUGGAUAACCGCUUGAAAGGGUGGCUAAUACGGGGUGUUCUGGCUGUGCCGCAUGGUGUGGCUGGGAAAGAUUCACUUUUGUGGUGUUUUGGUGGGGGAUGGGCUCGCGGCCUAUCAGCUUGUUGGUGGGGUGAUGGCCUGCCAAGGCUUUGACGGGUAGCCGGCCUGAGAGGGUGGGCGGUCACACUGGGACUGAGAUACGGCACAGACUCCUGCGGGAGGCAGCAGUGGGGGGUAUUGCACAAUGGGCGGAAGCCUGAUGCAGCGACGUCGCGUGAGGGAUGGAGGCCUGCGGGUUGUGAACCUCUUUCGCCGGUGAAGAAGGUCCUGCUCUUUGUGGUGGGGUUGACGGUAGCCGGGUUAUGAAGCGCCGGCUAACUACGUG